rnacentral:rRNA from 1 species
UACAGAGGGUGCAAGCGUUGUUCGGAAUUAUUGGGCGUAAAGGGCGCGUAGGCGGUGCUGUAAGUCUGUGGUGAAAUCUCUGGGCUCAACUCAGAGUCUGCCAUAGAAACUGCAGUGCUGGAGUGUGGGAGAGGUGAGUGGAAUUCCCGGUGUAGCGGUGAAAUGCGUAGAUAUCUGGAGGAACACCGGUGGCGAAGGCGGCGUUCUGGACUGCAACUGACACUGAGGAACGAAAGCCAGGGGAGCAAACGGG